AUUUUAAAAACUUAAACCCCCCCCAAAACCUAAAAGACCAUUAACUAUGAAAUGGGUGACCUAUCGUAUACAUAUCUUGCACAAUAACAGACGGCUAAAGAAAUCCAACAGGGCAUUGAUUUCAAAAUAAUAACAUCUAACAAAAGAAGUUACAUAAUUCCUAGAGAAUUCACCUAUUUAGAAAAAAAUUAAAAACAGGUAUAAUUAUAAUGAUAUAUAUUUUAUAUACUCUCUUGAAUGUAUAAAAUCUGUACCAACUUAACUAUAAAAAGUUUCUAAAUUUUAGAAUCUUUUUCUAAAAUUCUUUUGUUUAUGCAGUUUCAAUUCUGUAAGGGAUUAAACCUAAAUAUCUACUGGGCACUGUGUUGCAGGAUAACCAUCGAGAUCCCCAGGUAAAGCUGCUUUUGAAACCUGAUUUUUAAGGAAUACAUUUGACUCUACUAAUGG